AUUGAACGCUGGCGGCAUGCCUUACACAUGCAAGUCGAACGGUAGAGUAGCAAUACUCGAGAGUGGCGAACGGGUGAGUAAUAUAUCGGAACGUGCCCAGUCGUGGGGGAUAACGUAGAGAAAUUUACGCUAAUACCGCAUACGAUCUAAGGAUGAAAGCGGGGGAUUCGCAAGAACCUCGCGCGAUUGGAGCGGCUGAUAUCAGAUUAGGCUGUUGGUGAGGUAAAAGCUCACCAAGCCGACGAUCUGUAGCUGGUUUGAGAGAACGACCAGCCACACUGGGACUGAGACACGGCCCAGACUCCUACGGGAGGCAGCAGUGGGGAAUUUUGGACAAUGGGCGAAAGCCUGAUCCAGCAAUGCCGCGUGCAGGAAGAAGGCCUUCGGGUUGUAAACUGCUUUUGUACGGAACGAAAAGGCUCUUUCUAAUAAAGAGGGCCCAUGACGGUACCGUAAGAAUAAGCACCGGCUAACUACGUGCCAGCAGCCGCGGUAAUACGUAGGGUGCGAGCGUUAAUCGGAAUUACUGGGCGUAAAGCGUGCGCAGGCGGUUCUAUAAGACAGAUGUGAAAUCCCCGGGCUCAACCUGGGAAUGGCAUUUGUGACUGUAGAGCUAGAGUACGGUAGAGGGGGGAUGGAAUUCCGCGUGUAGCAGUGAAAUGCGUAGAUAUGCGGAGGAACACCGAUGGCGAAAGGCAAUCCCCUGG
rnacentral:rRNA from 1 species